GUUUCAACCUUGAAUACUUUGCCUUUAAAUAAACAGAUAUCAUAAUGUUCAUAAGUUUACACCACUUUUGGGGAAUUUGGGUUAAACUGAAAAUCACUUUUGGCCUUGCUGAUUUAAAUCUUCACUUGUGUACCAUUUUGCAGAUGUCUUGUGGGUGGUGGUGGUGUUGUUGUUGUAGUAUAACACAUUUCAAUAUGAAAAGGAACAUUAUUCUGGGGGAGUUUGAAACAUGUAGAUAUCCUGUAGAUGUGCAUAAGUUUGCGAUUUACGUAAGAAUUUCUGUUUACGAUGAAAUAUUGAUGAGCUUUGAAUAUUGCAUAGAUUCUGUAUGUUUCUCUCUUGUUUAAUGAGAUACAUGUGUUUUCUGUACUGGACCAUGCUUUUUCCAGUUAAUAAUGCUAAUGACCCUGGCAGUAAUGAUUUGUUUUUUCCCCUCUGAAACCUUGUAACAACAGUCACAAAAACUCUUCCUUUAGGUCUUCAUGGUCUUUCAUUCAGGGAUGACCUCAACUUUAUCUUCACUUUUUCUUUUUUUAGAUUUAGUCUGCUUCACACUACGUUCACUUAAUGCCUUUAUAUCGUCUUACGCUUUUGUGCAGGGCAUAGUAAUUGUGCCCUCGCAAUAUGCUACAUUAAUACAGAGCAAUUACCUGUAAUGAAAAUGCUACAGAAAUACCACUGCAUUUAUUUUCUUUCACGCAUUUACUCUCGCAGGGAAUCUUUUUUUUUUUUUUUUCCUUAUAAUUCCCAGGUGCUGGACUUGUUGCUUUCUAAAAACUAUUACUGUUGCAAAUGGUUCUUUCAAGAUCUCUGCAGAGAAAAACACUGUGUGAAAUGUGUGAAAAACACUACAACAAAAAAACCUAGUGCUCUAAUAAUAACCUAACAGCAAGCACCUUAACCUGUGCGUGGGAAUAUCCAACAUAAAAGUACCUUGCUUUUUAUAAACAUAAGUGUAUCAACAAGUGCACAGAUUGUUAAAGAUGCUGUUUACCACGGUAGUUGAACUGAAACUAGCUUGUCUGAUCAAAAGAGAGAUGAAGAGAUAAACUUAAAUGUCAGUCAACCAGUUCAAGGUCUUGACAGAGACUAACUUCGAAGGUCGCUGAACACCCACUACACUCUGAAAUCACCCAACCACCCGCCAAGCACACAGAAACACAAACAACCAUGACACACACACAAAAACCCAGUUCCCUCCACCUCCACACCCUCUUAAUCCUUUGCAGGUGACUGCUGUGUGUGAUGGUUAGAGAGGAAGAGCCAUAGGGAGGGAGCUUAUGUGAAACAGGAAAGGGUGGGAAAGUGAUUUAAGGGAAAACUGUGGCUUUAUUGUUUAUUUUCUCUAAGAGGGUGUUUGUUAAAGCCUUCCAUGGAAGAAAAAGAGAAGAACAUUCUCAGGAACUUGGCUUCAUUUUACAAUUAUUUAUUCAUUUAUUUCUUUUCAAUCAUUAAUAAUUUGAUUAAACUGAUUAUUUUCAUGCAGGAGGGGUGAGUGAACAGGUACAUGGUGUGCUUUUUUUAAAACUUUUUUGACUAAACUCAAACUGUGUGUUAAAACACUUUUGGCAAGCUUGGACAAUGUUACUCAAACAUAAAAGACAGAGCGCUACGAUACAAAUAUGCUCAAAUGCUUACACCUGUCUGGACAGAGCUGCAGGAAUGAUGUGCUUUGGCCUCUGGUCACAGUUUAAUUAAACUGUACAUCACUUUGUUGCAUGAACACUCUAACGCAGUGAAGAAAAAAACUUUUUUUCUCUCUCCAGCUUUAAUCAGACUAGCCACUUUAUCCUUUUCUGCCUGUUUGGUUUCUGUUUUUAUGCAGUUCCUCAUAGUCUCUAUCUUGCACACACAUGCAGUCCCAACAUGCUAAAUCAUGCAGCACAAACUGCAAGGUGCAGAAGUUUCUCCUGCUCCCCUCUUCUUUCCGAAAUUAUUAGGAUUUCCUGCUGAGCAGGGUAGUGUGCUCCACUGCUGGGUUGGAACUGUAGGGUCACACUGGAAGGCUAAAGCCCUGAGCCUACUUCCACUUCACUUUGCUUCUUUAGAUGGGACACUUUUUAUCCUGACCUUCAGGCCAGAGAGAGGAUAGUUCACAGCUCACAGAGGGCUGAGAACUAUUCAGUCUGAAACAACUCACUCUAUUUAUGAUGCCAGAAAAACGCAGUGCCAAAACUGCAGUUUAUCUCGCAUCAUACAAACAGACACCCACACAACUUGCUAUCUUUUGACUGGUUGGACAAGCAAAAUAAAAAAAAGGCAUCUGGAUCACUUGGCCCACAGCCACAAACAAACUGAGCAUUAAGACACACAAUCAACAUCGCACACCUCUGGUCGCGGGUGCUUGGGUGAACGAGAGAGGCAAUAAUUGAAAAUAGGCUCGCUUCAGAAAGCAUGACACAAAAACCAAGAGGGGAACCAAGAGCAUUUUGCUCUGUUUUUAUGCGGGAGUUUGAAGGUACUUGGGAUGGGUCAGAGAGGGUGUCUGACCAGGCCCAGUUGGUCAGGCUUAGGGGUGGGGUGAAGGAAGAGAGGGGGCAGGUAGAGGGUUAAAUCCUGGCUGCCAUGGCUAAUGCCUCAAUCUUCUUGCUUCCCUUGCUACAACAACAUGGGAUCAACAAAGACAGGAUCAACAAAGCUCCAGCCAAAAUCCUCCGACGCACUGACACAGAAAAUUCCCAGUCCUCCCCAGGCCGCACAGGGAACAGCAAACACACACUAACAGACACACACACGCACAUAUACACAUAUCUCCGACUGCUUAGGGAACAACAAACAAAGGCGGUAAAUACAGCUGCAGACGGCUGGGCAGAUAACAGCCAAUCCCUAUCCCCAACUUGUUCCGUGGCUCAGUGGCUACUGACUGCCCUCUGCAGCUCGCUGCCUUGGCCAUGCCUUCUACACAGCACAAACACCUGCUGCUUAAUGCUUCAACUCACUCAAUUACAACAGCCCUCGUCAGACUGCAAACUUUCUCUCCUCCUGCUACUGCAAAACUUUUCUCCACUUGGAGCUUUUUUUCCAUCAUUUUUGGUGGAUUUGCAGUUGUCAUUUAUGUAGAGUUGACUGAGGUCAUGUUGGCUCAAGUCAAAAUUUUUUAACAAUACAAUUUAGUCUAUAUUUAUUAUACAGUAUAUCCAAAUAUUAUAGAUAUCAUGAAUUGGGGUAUCCCAUUGGGAUGGCACGGCCCCCAACAGACUCUGGAAUCUAUCUUCUCUUCAUCAGUUUCACAUGUGGUUGUCCAAAAGAUAAAGAUUACACUGAUCUACACUUUUGCAUACCAACAUACAUUCAUGACAGCACAGUACAGCAACUGAUCCUUUUUUUCACUCACUUUGAUUUUAAAAGAAUAGAGGAAACUUGGCCGAACUUCAACUUCUGUCUGAGAAGGACAGUAGGUACUGUGAUUUCUAAUCUGGAGGUGGAGAAUUCACAGUGAACCAGAGUGUGAUCUGCAAGGGAAUCCCAAACAUGCAAGUAUGGCAAUAAUUGGCAUUAACCUCCCACAGGUUGAUCAGAAUGAAGCCUAGAACAAAGAAAAGUGUUGUGCAAAACUUCUGAAGUCAAAGUCACUGUGGUGUGUGGCAACAUGGCCAGUUUGUAUCAACACCUGAGACCGCACAGAGAAAAGCAUGAUGCAUGUCUGUAAAUGAGGGGCCAGGUAAGUAAAGACAAAGACAAGGAGACAGCUCAAGGAUGUCGAAACAACAUCAGAGAAAAAUGACAGAAACUCAGGAGUCAUUUACACCUGUUGUCAAGGUGAUCAGAUCAUACAUGGAUCAUACAUGAGGUACAAAUGUUCUGAUAUGAUCGAAUUUUGCUAUUUUGUCAGUGAUGGUCUUUUUCUGAAUCUUAAAUCAUGUGGGGUUUGACACUAACUGUUACCAAUCAUCGGUGGUGGGUCCUCCACCACUUCACAUGGGUAGCAAGCCAUCAGGUGAGCCUGCAAAUUUGUUAUUGAGUAAGUCAGCUACUUUGUACGAAGUUACGAUCCAGCUUUAUCUUUGUUUUUUUUCCUGCCUAUUGUGUAGAUCCCAAAAUACUUCAACACUGCACUUUUUAUAUGUUUUGGUGCCCUGACCGUGUGCAUCACAGAUACAUAUAGAAGACUAGAUACGCCAGCACGCUGUAGCAGUGCACUGUAGCAGCCCGCAAAGCAACGGGCCUACGUGGCAGCCAUCUUGGCUGGGGCCACAGUCCUAUUUAAGGCAUGAGCUGUAAACGGAAAAUAAAUCAUAACAUGCUCAUUUCUCAACCAAUUUUCUUGCGGUUGACUUGAUUUUCAACACCAAAACGUGCUUUUAAUACAGAACAUUUGAUUUUUUAAACUUUUUUAUCAAAUGCUCUGUAUUAAUAGCACAUGUUUAGCAUUGACAUUAAAAGAACUGACUUUAAAAAAAUCAGUUGAGAAAUGGGCAAGUUAUGAUUUAUUUUCAUUGUACAUGCAUUGCCUUUAAUGGGAACCAUGCCCCCACCAAGAUGGCUGCCCUGUAGGCACGCAGCUCAAAGGGGCAUGUCUUAUCUACUAUUUAUAUCUGUGGUGUGCACAAUAUUGUGGCUUUGCAUGACCAUGUCCUUCACUUUUUUUUUGUUGAACAACAUUGUUUAUUUGUUUAUUGAGGUCAAGAGUGCAUAGAUUGGCCAGGUUACAAUAACAGCGCCCUCUGCUGCAUUGCACAGCAAGCUACUGCUGCCUGAUGUGUUGGUAUACUGUAUCAUCAUGAGUUUAAAAGGUUUAUUGUAGUGACAAUAUGAACUUUUCUGAUAGAGUUUAAACAUCAGAUAAAAGAGGACAGCCCUUCUUACCUCUCUUCCCGUUAAUGUGCUUCUCCAUUAAAUUUCUGGCGAGCUUUUGGCUCAUGUUUAAAAAAAUCACCAGAGCAUCUUUUCUCUUCUUGUUUUUUCAUAAUUCAAAAUGUAUUAAUGUUUGUAUAUACCCAAUAGAAAAAUACACAUUAAAAAACUAAAGUCUCUGCAUGUUCCUGGAUAACAAAGCUGUAAGACUCUUUAUACUAUUUAUCAUUUCACAAUGUCAAAUCUUUAUAUAUUGUCCACUAUAAUCACAAUCGCACAAUUUUGGUUUUAUACUGCCUUCAUUUAUCAAAAUAAGACUAUAUGAUCAUUUAUUUUUUGUACUACAGUGGAAAUAGAGUGGAGACAGAAAUUGGAAAUAAAUCCAAUUCAGACAUAUAUGUUUGUAUGCACUACUUCAUGCCAACACUGCAUAAAUCAGUGCCUCAGUCUGGGCAUGUCACCUGCACUUUAACACAUGUGAAUACACCUCAGCACACAGAGUGCAGAAAAAGGCCACUCUGGCCUGCGUUUCAUGGGACAGACAUGGCCCUGGACAAACACACCAAUGUCUGGAUGGAGAGACAGAGAAACAGACUCUACGCAAAGGAAGAGAUAGAGAGAGAGAGAGAGAGAGAGAGAGAGAGAGAGAGAGAGGCAGAGAGAUAAAGACACGGAGGGAGGAGAUGUGAGGCUUCAGCAGGAAAGCAGUGUUUGAUGUAAUCCAGGAAGUUAGUUCAGUAACUCCAUCCCUCCAUCCCUCCGUCUAAGUGAAGGACAGCAGAAGGAGGGAUGAAGGAGGCCCUUGUCUGGAGAGCCAGGGGUUUUCCACAUCUGUCCUCCGCAUUGUAGCCAGCCUCUCUAAACAGCCCAGGAGUCUGUUAUGGCUGGGGGAGGCGCACACACACACACACACACACACACACACACACACAGCAGCUAUGUCUGAGUGAGCCUUGUGGAACGCUUUAACACUGAUUGCAGUUAAGCGUUAAAUCAUCCAUACUAAAGUUACCAGUGAGAGAAAACACAUCAGGGCUGGCUUCAUAGCUGGGCGAUGUCUAUGUUUCAUGCUUGUUGGUCUGCACAUACGUGUGUGUGUGUGUGUGUGUGUUUAUGAAAUGCCAGUCACGCAACACUACCCUGCCUGCUGAAGGGAUCCUUGUCUUUCUUUUUUCUCCUUUACCUCCUUUUUUUUUUUUUCCUCUGGAAUGCUCUCACUUGCCUUUCUUUCUUCGGGAUACAUGACAGGUGCCCCCCCAUCCCUCCUUCCACCCCCCACUCUGAACCCCCUCUCCACUCCAUACAUCACAACAGCACACUGGCUAAAGCUUCGAGGUGCCACAUAAACAAAGAUGAGCACGUGCACUACACUGGCUCAGCUCUUCAGUGAAGGCCUUGGGCAGACGCCACAGGGAGUUAGGGCUCUUUUUUUUCUCUGCUCAUUUGUGCCCCUUGUGGUUGAACAGGAGAAUGACUGUGGCUAUGGUUUUAAUGAGGGCAAAAGAGAUGAGGGUCAGGUCACCGUCUUCAAUUUCUCACAGUUUAGGAGAGCUAGAAGCGUGUAAUCAACAAGGAUUAUAGUAAAUAGUUUCCCAAAGCAGAAAUCACACCAUGAAAGAAAUGCAUCAAUCCAUCAACCUUAUAGAGCCAUUCUUUAAAAGUUAUCUCAUGACUAUGUACCUCAAGAGCAAGACCCUCUCAUUAAAUCUUGAAAAGAUCCCAAGAUUAAAGUAUUAUGAGCACUGGAGAAAAAACUCAAAUAGGAGCAGACUUAUUGGUGUACAGUGAGACUGGGAAAAAACACUGAUUCUAUAAUAUCCCCUCAAGUGUCAGCCAGUUUCAUGUCACACGACUCCACAUUGUAGUGCACCUAGUAUGAGCUUAAGGUGAGUGGCAGGUAUUGGCUGGAGGAGUUGAUGAGGACCGCAGAGUAUCAGACAAAAGCCAAAUAAAGCUAAGAAAUACAGAAGCUAUUUUGAAAAUUAAAAGGAAGUAAAAAAAAAAAAGCAUCCCAGUUCUCUAUGCAGAAGAAAUGAUGAAGGACGCACUCAGGUUUUCAGAGUCACAUUCGUCUGUCACAAUUGGACUUCAUAUUGUGUUGAACUAUUUAGUGUUGACAGCAAUGUCUGUGCCUUUCUAUUUAUUAACUCAAAAUACAUCAUAAACAUAUUAAUGGCAAAGACAAGUUAUUUCAAACUGAAAAUACCACAAUUCUCAUUAUAAAACUGAACUGUUGAGUACAACAGCUAUGGUUCAAGAUUAUAAUGAGAACUGCGGUAUUUUUGGUUUUGUAGUAACUACCUUCCUUCCAUUAUAUUCCUCUCUGAAUAAGCUCUGUUUGUGUAUGUACCUGCAAAUUCACACGCUGGAAUGAUGAAACAUCCAAGCACCACAGGCUAUGCUACGGGCAGAGCCACUGCUUUUACAUGCAGAAUUUUGCCCCAAGCACUGAGAGCAGCAGGUAGCACUGUCAGACCUAGCAUCUAGUGUAAAUGCGGCAUAAAUGCAAAGAAAAAUUUAAUAACUAAAUAAAAGGCUCAGGGGUUUACUAGGAAGCCAGAUUUGGAGGGAAUAUCAGGUCUGUUGAUUUUAAAGUCAAAGUUUCAGUGUCACUAAGAUGCCUCUCUACCAUUUCAAUGUUUCCCCUAGAAUGGGAAGAAUGGGAAUUUACUGUAUCUGUGUGUGUGUGUGUGUGUGUGUGUGUGUGGGGGGGGGGGGGGGGGUUAAUCAGCUGUCAUUGCUG
rnacentral:lncRNA from 1 species